rnacentral:rRNA from 1 species
GUUGAACGCUGGCGGCAUGCCUUACACAUGCAAGUCGAACGGCAGCACGGGAGCAAUCCUGGUGGCGAGUGGCGAACGGGUGAGUAAUAUAUCGGAACGUGCCCAGUAGUGGGGGAUAACUGCUCGAAAGAGCAGCUAAUACCGCAUACGACCUGAGGGUGAAAGUGGGGGACCGCAAGGCCUCAUGCUAUAGGAGCGGCCGAUGUCUGAUUAGCUAGUUGGUGGGGUAAAGGCCUACCAAGGCGACGAUCAGUAGCUGGUCUGAGAGGACGAUCAGCCACACUGGGACUGGGACACGGCCCAUACUCCUACGGGAGGCAGCAGUGGGGAAUUUUGGACAAUGGGCGAAAGCCUGAUCCAGCAAUGCCGCGUGUGUGAAGAAGGCCUUCGGGUUGUAAAGCACUUUUGUCCGGAAAGAAAUGGCUCUGGUUAAUACCUGGGGUCGAUGACGGUACCGGAAGAAUAAGGACCGGCUAACUACGUGCCAGCCGCCGCAGUAACAC